UCGGGAAUUUUGGGCAAUGGGCGAAAGCCUGACCCAGCAACGCCGCGUGAAGGAUGAAGUUUUUCGGAAUGUAAACUUCACAAGAAUGGGAAGAAUAAGUCCUGGCUAACAUCCAGGACGAUGACGGUACCAUUUGUAAGCUCCGGCUAACUCCGUGCCAGCAGCCGCGGUAAUACGGGGGGAGCAAGCGUUGUUCGGAUUUACUGGGCGUAAAGGGCGCGUAGGCGGCGCGACAAGUCACUUGUGAAAUCUCCGGGCUCAACUCGGAACGGCCAAGUGAUACUGUCGUGCUAGAGUGCGGAAGGGGCAACUGGAAUUCUCGGUGUAGCGGUGAAAUGCGUAGAUAUCGAGAGGAACACCUGCGGCGAAGGCGGGUUGCUGGGCCGACACUGACGCUGAGGCGCGAAAGCUAGGGGAGCGAACGGG
rnacentral:rRNA from 1 species